CCCUGACACACCUUGGGAUCCCCCUGGAAGGGCUCGAUGGGAAGCCUCCCUGCACCUUCUGUGGCUGUUCUCUGCCCAUUUCUUCAAGAGCAGGUGCACCUGUGCUCAGACUUCCGUGCAGUUUGCUGACCCUCCAUCAACAAGGGAAAAACAAUCCCAGCAAGAAGCUCAAGUGACUCCACUGAAACUCUGGCAUUUAUCACAGACAAAAUUAGGUCAGAAGAGAGCACAGAGGUACUGAACUGAAAAGAAAUAAAUUCAUCUUUAGAAGAAAAAAGGAAGUCUCAAACUGCAAACUUGGGUUUAAUUUGUCUCCUCCAUGUAAGUCCAGGCCUCAAAUCAAACUGCUGCCACCUGCUCCUUGCCUCAUUGUCUGCCCUGCCUGUGUUACUGCUGUCAAGGGUCACCAAGUUGACCAGAGGGAUGCAGCACCUCUCCUAUGCAGAAAUGACUUCAUCAACAACUUUGCAAAGUUUGAUGGCAAACAUAUCAAGUUUCCUCAGAAAAUGUGAUGGUUGGGAAGAAGGAAAAACAGUGGGAAGUGCAUGAGCCUGAAGAGCUAACACUGCUAUUGAGGAAUUGUGUCCACAUAGGUGUUUCAUCUCUGAAUUGGAAACAAGGAUAUUUUGAAAUCAAGCAUUUCUGGACCAAGAUGGCAGCAAAUUAAAUGAAGCACUGCUAUCUCAUGUUAUCUGCACCAUAAUUUAUCAUAGUAGGCAAGGACAGUUUAAAAAUUACAAUGUCACCUUACAUUUUAGGUGUUUAGAUUUUCAUAAUAAGAGGUUAUUAUUA